rnacentral:rRNA from 1 species
AGUGAACGCUGGCGGUAGGCCUAACACAUGCAAGUCGAACGGCAGCACAGUAAGAGCUUGCUCUUACGGGUGGCGAGUGGCGGACGGGUGAGGAAUACAUCGGAAUCUACUUUUUCGUGGGGGAUAACGUAGGGAAACUUACGCUAAUACCGCAUACGACCUACGGGUGAAAGCAGGGGAUCUUCGGACCUUGCGCGAUUGAAUGAGCCGAUGUCGGAUUAGCUAGUUGGCGGGGUAAAGGCCCACAAAGGCGACGAUCCGUAGCUGGUCUGAGAGGAUGAUCAGCCACACUGGAACUGGAACACGGUCCAGACUCCUACGGGAGGCAGCAGUGGGGAAUAUUGGACAAUGGGCGCAAGCCUGAUCCAGCCAUACCGCGUGGGUGAAGAAGGCCUUCGGGUUGUAAAGUCCUUUUGUUGGGAAAGAAAAGCAGCAGGUUAAUACCCCGCUGUUCUGACGGUACCCAAAGAAUAAGCACCGGCUAACUUCGUG